AGGCAUAUUUUUUUAUGUGCUCUGCUAUUUGUCACUGCUUAAGGAUGUUGGCUCUCUUCAUAUUCUUAUUAUUUGUGUCUAACCCUUUGUAUUUGGAAAACAAAGCCGUAUACCAGGGUAUACGAAAGGGCAAAAGACUACAAUGGGUAAGGCCUGAAGCUCAAGAAGGGUGUGAUGUGUCAGAUUGGUUCAACAUCAUGGUACUCCAUUAAAACAGGAUCAAGACAAAUCCCAAAAACGCGAUAAAUGAACAUUUCCUGCCACAAUUCCUGGACUUCAUAGUGUGGAGGCAUGAACAUGAAUGCCUCGUUGAUCCACAGGUCAUUUUAAAGGACGAGGCGGACAUUGACCCCAAUGAUCAAUCAUCUGUUCUUGAGCAUUUGGACAAAGUUGUAUGGAUUUUUCUUUCCCACUUUCAUUAAGACCUACAAAACCUCAUACCUUGAUGGCUACAUACUAGUAACUAUAUUUUAAUAAGUUCAGACUGCUUCAGGUCAGAAAUCUAAUUGAGAAAGGUAGCAGAAAGACUGUUAGUAGGUUCAGACUGCUUUAAGCUGGCUUUAGUCUGUAUUAUCUAGUAUUGAAUUGAAUUAAAAUAACUAGUAGUUCAGUAAAGUGGAAACUACCUUUUGGAAUGUUUUAUACAGAAAAUAAACCUCUUUUUCUAGCCUUUCUUGGGUAUGCUUGGUUAUCAUCUGAUUCUUUUAGAUUUCCUUUUCUAAGUUCAUUUGAAAUAUGAUUUAUGAGAAAAAUGCCAAGAGGAUUCAUCGAAGAUGAUCGAAGAGGAUCUUCACAACAUACAUGCCAAAUUGCCAAUGUAAGCAAGAAAUGAGUAAGGUUGACGUUGUUAUUCUGGAACUUUUGUACUAAAGUUGAAGCUUUUGAAUCAUGGAGGUAGGGGCAGCUUGUUACUUAAUUCUUGUCAAGUGACAUUUCUGCAUAUAAAACUAACAAAUAUGGAGAUCCACGGUAACUUAAAUUUCCCAAGGCAAUCUCAUUGGGAUUGCCUUAGGAAAUAACAUAUGCGAAUUGAAUUGCUUAUGGUCAUUUAAAUGAAGAGGAAAUAACAAAAAUAAUGGUGUUUCUUGGCAUGCACAUGUACUAACACUUGAGUGCUUUAUAGGUAACUCAGAUAUUUGCAUUGA